rnacentral:misc_RNA from 1 species
AGGCCUUGACAUGUCCGGAACCCUGCAGAGAUGCGGGGGUGCCUUCGGGAGCCGGAACACAGGUGCUGCAUGGCUGUCGUCAGCUCGUGUCGUGAGAUGUUGGGUUAAGUCCCGCAACGAGCGCAACCCUUGUCCCUAGUUGCCAGCGCAUAAUGGCGGGAACUCUAGGGAGACUGCCGGUGACAAACCGGAGGAAGGUGGGGAUGACGUCUGGAAUGUCGAUA